ensembl:lncRNA
AAAAAAAACAAGAAAAAUUGCAAAUAUCUUCACACCCCAAAUAUGAAAUUUACUUUGGGAGUGAUCACAUCUGUCAGAAUCAUUUCUGUCCUUAAGGAUACUGUAUGAUCUUUUCUUAGUUAUUAUAAAAUACAGGAUUAUUGAAGCCUGUUUGUAAAGCGCCUGUGUUGACUUUUUUAUCGGUUUGGUGUACAGUCUUGCAAAAGUCGGGUUUGAGGUUAGGCUCCUUGGACGAACACUGGAAUGUGUCAUCUGGGCAGAAGCAGGUAGCAAUCAAACGAAGACAGUUCAGGACUGUUGCCACCAGCAUAAGAAAUCCUGAGUGGUUGGGAAAAGAAAUACGACAUUAGACUGUGUUAGGUGGAAGGUCAUGGACACGAUAUCCUCUGGAGAACAUCGCACCCAGGCCCAGAAUCAACACGGGGUGAGCAUCCCCAGAAGGAGUAGUGUAAGGACCAAGGAGCUAACCAAAGAGUCAGACACCCCAGCCUGGUAUCGCAUC